rfam:Canis lupus familiaris chromosome 26, whole genome shotgun sequence.
ACCUGACUGGCUCAGUUGGUAGAGCAUGUGACUCCUGAUCUCAGGGUCAUGAGUUUGAGCUCCAUGUUGGGUA